UUCACGUAUAGCUCAAUCGGCAGAGCAACGCACUGUUAAGGCGGGGGUUGAAGGUUCGAGUCCUUCUACGUGAGCAAG
rnacentral:tRNA from 3 species